ACGGCUCAGUAACACGUGGACAACCUGCCCUUAGGUUGGGUAUAAACCCGGGAAACUGGGUAUAAUACCCGAUAGGUCUCGAUUGCUGGAAUGCAUCGAGAUUUAAAGCUCCGGCGCCUAAGGAUGGGUCUGCGGCCUAUCAGGUAGUAGUGGGUGUAGCGUACCUACUAGCCUACGACGGGUACGGGUUGUGAGAGCAAGAGCCCGGAGAUGGAUUCUGAGACACGAAUCCAGGCCCUACGGGGUGCAGCAGGCGCGAAAACUUUACAAUGCUGGCAACAGCGAUAAGGGAACCUCGAGUGCCAGGUUACAAAUCUGGCUGUCGAGAUGCCUAAAAAGCAUUUCAUAGCAAGGGCCGGGCAAGACCGGUGCCAGCCGCCGCGGUAACACCGGCGGCUCGAGUGGUAACCGUUAUUAUUGGGUCUAAAGGGUCUGUAGCCGGCCGGAUAAGUCUCUUGAGAAAUCUGGCAGCUUAACUGUCAGGCUUUCAGGAGAUACUGUCUGGCUCGAGGCCGGGAGAGGUGAGAGGUACUUCAGGGGUAGGGGUGAAAUCUUGUAAUCCUUGAAGGACCACCAGUGGCGAAGGCGUCUCACCAGAACGGACCUGACGGCAAGGGACGAAAGCUAGGGGCACGAACCGGAUUAGAUACCCGGGUAGUCCUAGCCGUAAACGAUACUCGCUAGGUGUCGGCCACGGUGCGACCGUUGUCGGUGCCGUAGGGAAGCCGUGAAGCGAGCCACCUGGGAAGUACGGUCGCAAGGCUGAAACUUAAAGGAAUUGGCGGGGGAGCAC
rnacentral:rRNA from 1 species